AGCGAACGCUGGCGGCAGGCCUAACACAUGCAAGUCGAACGGAUCCUUCGGGAUUAGUGGCGGACGGGUGAGUAACACGUGGGAACGUGCCCUUUGGUUCGGAACAACUCAGGGAAACUUGAGCUAAUACCGGAUGUGCCCUUCGGGGGAAAGAUUUAUCGCCAUUGGAGCGGCCCGCGUCUGAUUAGCUAGUUGGUGAGGUAACGGCCCACCAAGGCGACGAUCAGUAGCUGGUCUGAGAGGAUGAUCAGCCACACUGGGACUGAGACACGGCCCAGACUCCUACGGGAGGCAGCAGUGGGGAAUCUUGCGCAAUGGGCGAAAGCCUGACGCAGCCAUGCCGCGUGAAUGAUGAAGGUCUUAGGAUUGUAAAAUUCUUUCAGCGGGGACGAUAAUGACGGUACCCACAGAAGAAGCUCCGGCUAACUUCGUG
rnacentral:rRNA from 1 species